rnacentral:rRNA from 1 species
AUUGCACAAUGGGGGAAACCCUGAUGCAGCGACGCCGCGUGAGCGAUGAAGUAUUUCGGUAUGUAAAGCUCUAUCAGCAGGGAAGAAAAUGACGGUACCUGACUAAGAAGCACCGGCUAAAUACGUGCCAGCAGCCGCGGUAAUA